ACCUCGGUGGUGUAGUGGUAGCACGAGUCCCCGGCAUAGAUGAAACGCGGGUUCCACUCCCGCCAAAGGUC